rnacentral:rRNA from 1 species
AUACGGAGGGGGCUAGCGUUGUUCGGAAUUACUGGGCGUAAAGCGUACGUAGGCGGACUGAUCAGUUGGGGGUGAAAUCCCAGGGCUCAACCCUGGAACUGCCUUCAAUACUGUCAGUCUUGAGAUUGGAAGAGGUGAGUGGAAUUCCUAGUGUAGAGGUGAAAUUCAUAGAUAUUAGGAGGAACACCAGUGGCGAAGGCGGCUCACUGGUCCAAUACUGACGCUGAGGUACGAAAGCGUGGGGAGCAAACAGGAUUAGAAACCCUAGUAGUCC